AACGAACGCUGGCGGCAUGCCUAACACAUGCGAGUCGAACGAGACCUUCGGGUCUAGUGGCGCACGGGUGCGUAACGCGUGGGAACCUGCCCUUAGGUUCGGAAUAACUCCCCGAAAGGGGUGCUAAUACCGGAUAAUGUCUUCGGACCAAAGAUUUAUCGCCUUUGGAUGGGCCCGCGUUGGAUUAGCUAGUUGGUAGGGUAAAAGCCUACCAAGGCGACGAUCCAUAGCUGGUCUGAGAGGAUGAUCAGCCACACUGGGACUGAGACACGGCCCAGACUCCUACGGGAGGCAGCAGUGGGGAAUAUUGGACAAUGGGCGAAAGCCUGAGCCAGCAAUGCCGCGUGAGUGAUGAAGGCCUUAGGGUUGUAAAGCUCUUUUACCCGGGAUGAUAAUGACAGUACCGGGAGAAUAAGCGCCGGCUAACUCCGUG
rnacentral:rRNA from 1 species